GAAGGCGAGUUCAGUAUUUACAUUACACAAGAAAAUGUGUUUCCUCUCUUUCACCUCCCCUCCCCCAAGUCUUAAAUCUUUCCAUACAGAAAGCACUAUGUGGUGUCCAUAAUGUACAGGAUGAUGAAGGUUAUAGACAAGAAACAUAAAAUCCAUGAGGACCGGUCCUCCAGGAGGCCUGUGUGUGCACAACCACAGGGGGUGCUGUUCAGGAUAUGAUCUUUGUAGGUGAUGUCAACAAAGGUGGGAACCCUGUUCUGGGCACCGGGACCAAUGCUGGAGAGACCACUGCCAACAGGGAGCAUUCAGACUUCAAGAAGCAUACAUAUAGUCUGAAAGGGGAACCAGACGUGAAAACCAAGAAGUAUCCUAAAAAGGAAUAGGUAUAAAAAUGAAAUGGUGUACAGGGUGCAGCUGAGGGCCUCCGGGAGGAAAUGACCCACAGUGCUUCCCAGAAGAAAUGACUCCGGUGGUGAUGAGAAGGAGCAGGUGUUCUCUCAGCAGGCGUGGGACAGCCUGGCAUCCUAGUGAUCAAAACAGGGAAAUGGCCAAAAAAGGGAAAGGAAGACUUUGGGGAACUUCAAGAAGUUUGGUGUGUCCCCAUCAGGCACAUCCAGGCCAGGCUCAUCUUCUAGAAACGCUGCUUUCAUCAUCACAUGACACACACAGUCCUUCCCCAUAGGAUGCACACUGCUUCCCGGGGUGCUUUCCUCUAAGCCGGUUCCAGUAUAGUCACUCUCUCAUUCUCGAGGAAAACUCGUUGUUUUCAAUUCCCCCACCCAGGGAGACUUAACUGCCUCCCAUCAAGGUGGUCUCCUCACCUGCCCACCAUAGGCUUCCCACCUGUGAGCUUGGUUCAAACGGGGGUCAUCCCACCAGCCCAGACAGCCCUUCCCCCUCCUCGAAUUCUGCCUCUUUCGUGGCUGCCAGUUUCUUCCAAAUUGGACCAUGAACUCUUUGAAGGAAGAACUCACUCAUUCAUUCCUUCAGCAAUAAUUUAUUGAUUGCCUACUCUGUACCAGGAACUGGAUCUUCACAAAAUCUAAUAAGAGGGGGUCACGGUGCCUAGUGGAAGCCCACCAAAUGCUUGACCCCAAAUGCUUGACUGUACAAAAGAAGAAACUUCUUUACACAAAGGGGUUUCUGGAGUUGUUAAAAUAUUUCAAUCAUUAACAACUUUUAUUUUGGGAAGCAAAGAGGCAUGUUUUAUUUUGAAUAUGUUGCAUUUUGUUUCUUUCAAGACAUCUUAAUAUGUUAUCUUACUCCUACCUGAGGCAGCCCAGAUGAAAUAUAUUGCAUUUUCUGGAUAAGCAAACUAAGGUGUCAGGGGAUUUAGGCUUGCCUCAAGUCACACAGGGGCUUCCCAGGUGGCUCAGUGGUAAAGAACCUGCCUGCCAAUGCAGGAGACAUAAGAAACCCAGGUUCGAUUCCUGGGUCGGGAAGAUUCCCUGAAAGAGGGCAUGGCAACGCACUCCAGUAUUCUUGCCUGGAGAAUCCCGUGGACAGAGGAGCCUGGUGUGCUGCAGUCCAUCAGGUCACUAAGAGUCGGACACUAAAACGACUUAACACGAACACACAAGUCAUACAGAUGAUCAAUGGAAGGAGCAGACUUGUUAUUUAGUUGCACUGAGUCUUCUGGUGGCUCACGGACUGUGUUGCCCCGCAGCAUGUGAGAUCUUAGUUCUCUGACCAGGGAUGGAAGUGGUGUCCCCCACAUUCCAAGAUGGAUUCUUAACCACCGGACCACCAGGGAAGAAGUCCCAGGAGCAGACUGACCACCUGCCCUUUCCACCAUUACCCGUAUGUGCAUGUGAGAGCCCCCCCAACCAGGAUCUCCACUUAGCAGCUACUGUGAAGGCUCCCCAGGG
ensembl:lncRNA